UACGAAGGGGGCUAGCGUUACUCGGAAUUACUGGGCGUAAAGGGCGCGUAGGCGGCUCAGCCAGUCAGGCGUGAAAUUCCUGGGCUUAACCUGGGGACUGCGCUUGAUACUGCUGGACUUGAGGCCGAGAGAGGGUGGUGGAAUUCCCAGUGUAGAGGUGAAAUUCGUAGAUAUUGGGAAGAACACCGGUGGCGAAGGCGACCACCUGGCUCGGUACUGACGCUGAGGCGCGACAGCGUGGGGAGCAAACAGG
rnacentral:rRNA from 1 species